GCGCGCGUCGUAGCUGACGCCUCCGCGGGGCCCCGGCUCUGCCUGGUGUCAACGGUAUCGUAGCCUCCCCGUGUCUCUGCCGAGACGGCGGCCGCCUCUCCCCUUACCGCGUGAGCGAACACUCAAGCCCCGCCUCAGAGGGCCGUGAUUGGCUGCUGACGGCCCGGGGGCCGGUGGAGCCCCGGAUGAGCACGGGGCUGCAAGGAGUUCCGAGGCGGCCGCGCGCGCGCGCGCACGCACGUACUUCCACCGAGGGCUGCCACGCGCGCGCCCCAGCGCGCGGUCCCGUGUGGAGCCGAAUUCAGGUCUCGCAGCUGAUGUCUGGAGAACAAUGGGCUGAGUGUUACUGAUUCCAAGACACCAGGCUGGGAGCUGCCUAGGACUGAAGGAGCAUCAUGAAUCAUUGUGACAUUUGAACAAGUACCUUGGACAAAGGCGGGAAGAGCAUCUUCGACUCCUGUAGCAGUCUUGGGUCCAUUCUCCAUCCACCUCCUGUUUUGCAGUGCUGAAGUUGAGAAUUUUUAAAAUGAAAGAAAGAAAAG